GACGAACGCUGGCGGCGUGCUUAACACAUGCAAGUCGAACGGAAAGGCCCUGCUUUUGUGGGGUGCUCGAGUGGCGAACGGGUGAGUAACACGUGAGUAACAUGCCCUUGACUUUGGGAUAACUUCAGGAAACUGGGGCUAAUACCGGAUAGGAGCUCCUGCUGCAUGGUGGGGGUUGGAAAGUUUCGGCGGUUGGGGAUGGACUCGCGGCUCAUCAGCUUGUUGGUGGGGUAGUGGCUUACCAAGGCUUUGACGGGUAGCCGGCCUGAGAGGGUGACCGGGCACAUUGGGACUGAGAGACGGCCCAGACGCCUACGGGAGGCAGCAGUGGGGAAUAUUGCACAAUGGGCGGAAGCCUGAUGCAGCAACGCCGCGUGCGGGAUGACGGCCUUCGGGUUGUAAACCGCUUUCGCCUGUGACGAAGCGUGAGUGACGGUAAUGGGUAAAGAAGCACCGGCUAACUACGUG
rnacentral:rRNA from 1 species